GGGGACGACAUGGCUUCGACGGGAUUGAAGUGGGUGUCGUACGCAUGCCGCGGCUGUUUCGGUUCCGCGUUAUCAAACCGGGCACUAAAUAUAAGUGCAGAUUACGAUUACGCGCUGGCAGCCUAAAUAGGCUGUCCGUUCCCUCAUUGCCCUACCUGUCGGGCGAUGUCCGGAGCGACGAUAAUGGCAGGAUAGUUUCAUUUUUCGUUUGCGGGAAUGAAAUGAAAUCUUAACCUUCGGGUGAGCAAAAUAGCAGUGCUCUAAUCCAGUCCUUCGGAGUGGGACCUGCGAGAAUCAAAUGAAGGACUAAGCAUGUAGAAGAUGACGUUGACUCUCUCUCGGACGGCGGUUCGAUUCCGCCCGUCUCCACAA
rnacentral:tmRNA from 1 species